AUUGACAGUCUCACUGUCACUCCCUGUACAGACGUGUAGAAUUUUAGCUUCCUGUUCCUACCACCAGAGAUUCCGCUGGAUUAGAGGUCUUGGAACCCAGAACCAUCCAGUGGCGACAGUGCUGUCCUGGCUCCAGUCAUGGGAGAAAAGAAGAAAUUGUCAAAAAUAACUGACAUUAUUUCACUCAUUCAUCCAACCAGCACUUACCGAGUGCCUGAUUUGAGCAGGAAGGAAGACUGAGGGUACAGAGGAUGAGAAGUGCUCAGUCUAUGACACCAUCCUGUGCUGACACGCCAUGGCGCCUCACAGACAGAUGUUUAGCUGAGAAAGCAUCAGGACAAACGAAUGGUCUAGAGAGCCCAGAGUUCAAGGAGUUGCCCAUGGCUCUUGCUUCCUCAACAUUUUCUUGGUGAAAAAUCAGAUGCCUUGCAGUGCCUGGAUGUGUGUCCUCUUGGAAUUAUUCGGGCUUAAUGUGGUGAGAUUUGCUUGAAGUGGAGUAUAAUUGCCCUUCCUCAUUGAAAUGAUGUUUUCUUUUCAAUUAAAUUAUGA